rnacentral:lncRNA from 1 species
UUUAUAUAUAAUGUCCCAUUUAUUAAUUUUAAAAAAAUCAACACAAUGUAUAUCUCUUAGAUAAAUAAAAAGAAUACACUAUUAAAAAAAUAAAAAUAAAUAUUUCAACGUACAUUGAUCUAUCUACAUAUUAUUAAAAAAUCUAACAUCAAAUAACAAAAUCUAAAUUAAUCUAGCUAUUCAAGAAACCAAAUCUCACAACUGACAAUGUGACAUCCAUCAUCGUUUUAUCUUUCUCCUCUU